rnacentral:ncRNA from 1 species
GAAAAGGCAUGGAAGAAGAGGAGUACGCAGGCAGGCGUCACACAGAGAGGGCGGCCCAUGGCUGAAAGGCUGCCGGGGAAGAGUCGUUUGCGGAAGGUAGCUUUGGAGCCGGGACGGUGAAAGAGGAGUAGCCGUUCACGCCUGACCAGCGUUAACGGGUAAAGAGAUACGCGGGUUCGUCCGCGUAUGAAGUAAGGUGGUACCGCGUGCUGACUGACGCCCUUUCG